UACAGGUAUAAUUUAUAAUAAAUAAACUUAAAUUACGUAUUAUUCUUAAUACCUCCCUGUAAUUAAGCCACCGUGUGCAUAAGCAGUGGAACCACACCAUGCAGCUGAAAGUCCUCUUCUAAAAGACUGGUGACAUGUGGGCACCUUGGCAUUCUCAACACAUGCGCCCUGAAGUUGACGUUGGCGGUCGACUCUAACAACUGCACAGCUUUCGUCUGGUCUUCUGAAGCACGUAUUUAGGGAACAGAGAGUGAAGUUCCCUAAGAUCGAAAGGAAGGAUCUUUAAACCAGUCACCGGCUGGCAAGCUACUGCCCAACAGUUGUUCUUUGGGAUUCUCUACACAGUCAUGUUUAUUCGCACUCAAAGUUCACUUGCGAUGCGUAGGAUAAUGGGACGUCAUCUGUCGAUUUGUCGUUAAAUCUGCGAUGUGCGUUGCCAACCUACGAUGUCCUCUCUGGUAGUGUAGGCAGGAGAUAUUCAACAGUUAGAUAUUAGGCUCCACUGAAGCGGUGACACGAUGGUUCUUGUUGACAUCUUGACGGUGCUUCCUUCCUUGCACUAUCACAUAGCCAUUUUCGUCAGCCUUAGUCAUUUCCUUCUUAUGAACGUGCUUCUUUAUGAGAGCACUGAAAACGCUUGCCACCAUGCGCGCGCGGACUUGUCAGCUGUAGUACGCCGUGUUUGUGGUGCCGCCAUACGAAAUUACAGGACAUAGGAGCAGCUUAGUCUCUACCAUAGCAACUUUAGUGAAAUCCAUUGAGCUCAUCAUGUCUAUCACAUCACUCGCAGCAGCAGAAUUGGAACAGCAGAUCUCCGCUGCGUUUGCAACCAAGUUGUGAGUAGGACGGCGAAAAGGUGUCGAAAUGUCGAACACUGCGCUGUGCAAGCUCUGAGGGUCUCACUCAUACAUACUAUGACGCCGUAGUUUCACUCCGAUUGAGCCAGUCCACUUCUGCCAAAACAGUCCUGACGGUGCGUACGUUAGGCUGCGCAGAUCUCCAACAAGCAGGCUGCGCCACACGUCUCAUGUUGUUUCGUGAAACUGCUCUUCUUCUUUCAGCUUUUCUAUAUUAAUGGGCAUAAUAAAACCCUGUGGCCUGUGGCCUGUGGCAGUUUUACGACGAGUGUUUCCCGUGAUGAUGGUGACGGUCGUCAUUGACGUACAAUAGCGGUGCCAAGUUUUCAGCAAUUUCUUUCUUCAGACAGUCGAUUGUUAGCUCUCUGAUGGCCACACAGUCUGUGAACUUCUUCUGCAGAAUGGCUUGACAAUGUAUUGUUGGAUAUCAGAUGGUGCCAAGCACGACAUUGGUCAGUUUUCAAUGAAACCCUCUUCAUAAACUUGUCUUCACCACUCUGGUACUGCCUAGCCAGGGAAUACUAUACAACGAUCAAUUAUGCUACCUUAGGCCUACCUUUAAAAAAUCAAAAUAGAACUAAUUUGAUUUUUUCCCAUUCUCUGCUAUUUUUGGGCCCGAUAGUUUUAUGAUUUUUGUAUUUUCGUCUUCGUUUCACGUUAGUCACGUAUCAAUAAUGAUAAAAUUGAAGUAUUUGCACAGAUAGCUAGCUAACAGGCUGACAUCAAGCCGUUUUGCCUUGUAGAUAAGCAGCGACUAGGGCAUAUAAGAGUCUGAUAAAAAUGGGUGCGAUAUUACUGGUGAUGUCGAUCCCGACUGAAACGGUACGAGUGUCACGAUUGCAUCAUAAUUACAUCAUCAUAAUAUUAUAUUGUUUCAAAAAUUUCGUAUUCAAAUCAAAUUUAGUUAAAAGUUAGUAAUUAGUUAGCUGUGCGACUUCAAAUGUUACUUUUUUAUUCCAAAAUAUUGUGUUUUAAAGUGUUAAAUCAGUGCAAAAGUUGUACCAUAUGCUGCGUUUUUCAACUCAUUUUUUAGUGAUAUUCCAUCAAAAAUCUUUGAAGAAAGUGGUUUAUUGUGUUUUGUGCUUAUAUUUCAAUGAAAUAAAAUAGAUUUCAUGCAAAAUAAACGUAAUAUCGAAAUGUUUUAAACACGUGGCGUGACCGUGAUGCAUUGACGAAUUUCAGCCGGGGUUGCGGACAACCUUGCGAGUUACCGGGGCUGCAAGCUGCCAAGCAGGAGUAGGAACGGGGUGGAUUUAGUCAGUAAGAGUCUGAGACUCUCUCUCAUCUCGCUCAAGAUGUCUUCACGUGACGUCGUGGCAGACGAAUGGGUCCUAAAGUCGAGGCGCGGUGGAGACCUGGCAAACGCGAGGAAGGGGUUUCUCAGCUAGGUGGAGUAACGACAUCCGCUGUACAACUGGCAAUGGUUGGAUGCGAAGAGCUUACUCAUCCAUAGCUCAUGAAGUCAUGUCGUUCCAUUUCUGGAGCAUGAACCUUCUCCACAUAUGAGGGGUUUGCUCUUUGCAAGCGAGUAGAAUAGAAAUCGCAGUUUAAAAGAUUAAGAUUUAUCAGGGAGCGCUGCUUGUCGUUUCUAUGAAAUGUGUAGUCUUUUAGUCGGGUAUACGACACCCGCGGGAAGAGUAGGGGUGGAUGACAAAUGUAUUUUUGUUUUUUUUUAAGU